ACUGCCCCUUUUUUUGCCUGCGAAUGGCGGCGAUUUGAAGUUGGGGCUUUUCGUUUCCUCCAAAACAUUGAUAUCUGGAAAGGGAGCCCCUUAACACUUUUGGAGGGAACUGGCUGCAGCAUUUGGCGGGGAGAGAUAAACUGGUUUCCCACCUCUGCUUACUCCCACCUUCUCCCCUUAAUCUUCUCUUCCUCUGUGCGAGACUUUUUUCCUUUUUUAUUGUAGACACAGGGUCUUUGUUCUGCUGCCCAGGUUGGAGUGCAGUGGCGUGAUCAUAGCUCACUGCAGCCUCAACCCCCCGGGCCCAAGCGAUCCUUCCACCUCAGCCUCCCGAGUAGCUGGGCCUAGAGGUGCACACCACCAUGCCUGGCUAAUUUUUAAUUUUUUUUGUAGAGAUGGAGCCUUUCUAUGUUGCCAAGCCUAGCCUCGAACUCCUGGCCUCCCAAAAUGUGGGGAAUACAGGCGUGAGCCACUGCACCCCGGGUCAUUCCUCUUUUACUUCCUUGCUGUACCCCAACUAUCCUUCCCCCUCGGUGCCCUUAAAACCUUUGCAUUGGGACUUAACGGUAAUAGAAUGGCAUUCCUCACUGCCUCCGAACCACUCAAGCUGCUGCCCAUGCACUCUCUUCUGCAUGGCUCCUGGACUAAGCAGCCUCCCUUUGAUUAAGCAGCUCUCGGUCCUGGAUGAAUC
rnacentral:lncRNA from 1 species